UACGUAGGGUGCAAGCGUUGUCCGGAAUUACUGGGCGUAAAGCGAUGCGCAGGCGGUUUUGAGUAAUGCCAGGCUGGUGAAAAUCCCCCGGGCUCAACCUGGGGAAUGGCAUUUGGGACUGCAAGGCUGGAGUGCGGCAGAGGAGACUGGAAUUCCUGGUGUAGCAGUGAAAUGCGUAGAUAUCAGGAGGAAUACCGAUGGCGAAGGCAGGUCUCUGGGCUGACACUGACGCUCAUGCACGAAAGCGUGGGGAGCAAACUGAUGAUA
rnacentral:rRNA from 1 species